UUUUUUUUUUUUUUUUUUUUUUUUUUUUUUUUUUUUUUUUUUUUUUUUUUUUUUUUUUUUUUUUUUUUUUUUUUUUUUUUUUUUUUUUUUUUUUUUUUUUUUUUUUUUUUUUUUUUUUUUUUUUUUUUUUUUUUUUUUUUUUUUUUUCAUAAUGGCACGACUUUUUUUUUUUUUUUUUUUUUUUUUUUUUUUUUUUUUUUUC
rnacentral:lncRNA from 1 species